rnacentral:tRNA from 1 species
GGGGGUAUAGCUCAGUGGUAGAGCAUUUGACUGCAGAUCAACAGGUCUCGGGUUCAAAUCCUGGUGCCCCCU